AGGGACGGAUGUCGAGGCCGGGCGCGGUCCCGGUCAGGAACCGGGAGACCAACAGCCCGGUGGCCGGGGCCAGUCCGAUCCCGGCCCCUUCGUG
rnacentral:tRNA from 1 species